rnacentral:rRNA from 1 species
GACGAACGCUGGCGGCGUGCCUAAUACAUGCAAGUAGAACGCUGAAGGAGGAGCUUGCUUCUCUGGAUGAGUUGCGAACGGGUGAGUAACGCGUAGGUAACCUGCCUGGUAGCGGGGGAUAACUAUUGGAAACGAUAGCUAAUACCGCAUAAUAGUAGAUGUUGCAUGACAUCUGCUUAAAAGGUGCAAUUGCAUCACUACCAGAUGGACCUGCGUUGUAUUAGCUAGUUGGUGGGGUAACGGCUCACCAAGGCGACGAUACAUAGCCGACCUGAGAGGGUGAUCGGCCACACUGGGACUGAGACACGGCCCAGACUCCUACGGGAGGCAGCAGUAGGGAAUCUUCGGCAAGGGACGGAAGUCUGACCGAGCAACGCCGCGGGAGUGAAGAAGGGUUUCGGAUCGUAAAGCUCUGUUGUAAGAGAAGAACGAGUGUGAGAGUGGAAAGUUCACACUGUGACGGUAUCUUACCAGAAAGGGACGGCUAACUACGUG